rnacentral:rRNA from 1 species
UUAAGCAUAUAAGUAAGUGGAGGAAAAGAUACUAAACAGGAUUCUUCCAGUAAUGGCGAAUGAAGCGGGAAGAGCUCAGUUUGGAAUUUGGGUCCCUGGCUCAGAGUUGUAGUCUUGUGAUGCGAUACCAGCGGGGGUGUGGAUGUAGGCCUUCUGGAGGGAAGUACGCUCAAGGGUGAGAGUCCCGUCUGUCAUCUGUGGUCCUCUGUGCACAGUUCGUCCUCGCCGAGUCACGCUCCUUGAAAGUGGAGCGCAAAGGUGGUGGUAAACUUCAUCUCAAGCUAAAGACAGGUGUGAGCCCGAUAGGAAACAAGUACCAUGAGGGAAAGGUGAAAAGGACUUUGGAAAGAGAGUUUAAAGUGCCUGAAAUUGCUGAGAAGGAAGUGAAUGGAGCUAGUGAUUCUAGGGUUGAAUCUUCUUGCGUGUUCCUGUGACCGCGUUGCUGCAGCAAUGCAAAGGCUGCAGUGCUGGUGAGCAUCAAGGGCGCAGUGUCUUCGGCCCUGUCUGCCUGUGCCAGUUUGCUGGGAGGGAAGACUGUGGGGGUAUGGUGGUUUGUCUCUGGGCGGAUGAAAGUGCCCUGUGGAGAUUUCUCGUGAACUGUAAUGCCGGGCGAAAUUGUUUCAUCCGACCCGUCUUGAAACACGGACCAAGGAGUCGAACGUGUGUGCAAGUUCACGGGUGCCAGACCUGUGGGCGCAAUGAAGGUGACUGCUGGGAUUCCAGCACCAGCAACCGACCAAUCAAGUGUGAGAGGUUUGGGUGAGAGCAUACCCGUUCGGACCCGAAAGAUGGUGAACUAUGCCUGAGCAGAGUGAACUCAGGGGAAAUCCUGAUGGAGGCUCGUAGCGAUACUGACGUGCAAAUCGUUCGUCACACUUGGGUAUAGGGGCAAAGACUAAUCGAACCAUCUAGUAGCUGGUUUCCCC